UACGGAGGGUGCAAGCGUUAUCCGGAUUCACUGGGUUUAAAGGGUGCGUAGGUGGGCAAGUAAGUCAGUGGUGAAAUCUCCGGGCUUAACCCGGAAACUGCCAUUGAUACUAUUUGUCUUGAAUACUGUGGAGGUCAGCGGAAUAUGUCAUGUAGCGGUGAAAUGCUUAGAUAUGUCACAGAACACCGAUUGCGAAGGCAGCUCACUAAAGUGUAACUGACGCUGAGGCACGAAAGCGUGGGGAUCAAACAGG
rnacentral:rRNA from 1 species